rnacentral:rRNA from 1 species
UACGGAGGGUGCAAGCGUUAAUCGGAAUUACUGGGCGUAAAGCGUGCGUAGGCGGUUCGUUAAGUCUGUUGUGAAAGCCCCGGGCUCAACCUGGGAAUGGCAAUGGAUACUGGCGAGCUAGAGUGUGUCAGAGGAUGGUGGAAUUCCCGGUGUAGCGGUGAAAUGCGUAGAGAAUCGGGAGGAACAUCAGUGGCGAAGGCGGCCAUCUGGGGACAACACUGACGCUGAGGCACGAAAGCGUGGGGAGCAAACAGGG